GGCGGGUCUCCUCACAUGGCGAUUCGGAACAACGGGUCAGGGGCGGAAGCCAGCAGCCCACUCCGGAAAACCAGUGCUGAGGGUCAGGCUCGCCGCC
rnacentral:SRP_RNA from 1 species